rnacentral:siRNA from 1 species
CUGCCCACCCUGGAAACGGCUC